rnacentral:rRNA from 1 species
GACGGUCUUGCUGUCACUUAUAGAUGGAUCCGCGCUGCAUUAGCUAGUUGGUAAGGUAACGGCUUACCAAGGCAACGAUGCAUAGCCGACCUGAGAGGGUGAUCGGCCACACUGGAACUGAGACACGGUCCAGACUCCUACGGGAGGCAGCAGUAGGGAAUCUUCCGCAAUGGGCGAAAGCCUGACGGAGCAACGCCGCGUGAGUGAUGAAGGUCUUCGGAUCGUAAAACUCUGUUAUUAGGGAAGAACAUAUGUGUAAGUAACUGUGCACAUCUUGACGGUACCUAAUCAGAAAGCCACGGCUAACUACGUGCCAGCAGCCGCGGUAAUACGUAGGUGGCAAGCGUUAUCCGGAAUUAUUGGGCGUAAAGCGCGCGUAGGCGGUUUUUUAAGUCUGAUGUGAAAGCCCACGGCUCAA